GCCCGGCCCGCCCCGGAAGUGACGUCGCCCACUCGCUCCGCGGCCCCGUGAUAAAGGCGGUGUGGGACUUUGAGCCUGAUGGAGCUGCUCUUGAAUCUGUACCUGUAUCUUCACUGGAAAAGAGGCCCUCACUGGAAGACCCUGUUAAUCUGAUGCCCAGGAAUCGCUAACUGAAGUGUCCUAUUGCACUGUUGGAGAUAGUAGCCAAAAUACCCAGCUUGGAACAAAUUGCCCAACUCCCCAGCAGCAUGGCAGAUGGUGAUGUUUGGAAAAAUGUCCACCUGACUGUUAAAGCCAAGUUGAAGCUGUUGAAUGGAUUCCAGCAAUGAACCAUUGUCACUUGGUGUGUUCCACCUCCUGGCUGAGGCAAGUAAGAGCCAGUGUCCCUCCUCUAGUCCUCUCCUCUUUGUUUUGUACUCUGCCAUCAGAAACACGU